rnacentral:lncRNA from 1 species
UCGCCUUAGCGGGUGUAGAUCCAUCUCGUAGAUACUCAUUGAUGCUUUGAUACCAAGGACUGUGGAUGGGAGGUAGCUCAUCUGAUACUUCUCCAACAUAAUUACCAUAGACUGGGGCUCUUUACAGAGUAAAUGUGAUGCUUGGCAUGUUUUCCUUGUCCGAUAUGUAAACCAAGGAGGCCAGCGUUGCUAAUGCAUCUACAAAAUCAUUCCUAUUACGAGG